rnacentral:lncRNA from 1 species
GAAAGGCAGCCGCAGCUUUUUCUGCAGAUGAAUUGACGUCCCCAGCGCAGCAGCCCUGACAGCGAGCGAUAUGGUUGGGUACGCGACUGCGUCAAUCCAGUCGGGGGCGGGCGAUUGGAGAGAUUCACACGGACGAGGAUAUUUCAGAGUUGGACAGUUCAACAUGUUUGAGCGUUGUCCUUUUUCAUUUCUAAACCACCAGGAUGUGACAUAAAAGCGGCAACAGGGUUCCUUUUGGAGAUGCGGAGCGAUGUUGACCGUGUGUCCCAACUGCGCCGCCAAGCUCUGCUGCCUCCGGCGGCCCAUCAUAGAGUCGAAAACUGCCUUGCUCUUUUGAUUAACAACGACAGACAGCAAAUCCCGUUACAACUCUUCCUGUGUCCUGUCCCUCCCCCUUGCACGGGGGUGCGUGUUACGCAGGAUGUGUGCGGAAGGGAACUAACGCGGGGUAAUUUCCACGCUUCGCUGGGUAUGAAUGCCCGCGGCACUGCCGCCACCAGAGACAACCUGUGAUGUCCUCCUGUUCAUGAGACAUGUGCGUUCAAGAGGCCGUGCAGAAACGACACGUUUCGCCAGAUAUUUCUUCCUAGCAUCAUCAGAGAUCUCCGAAAGUGUUGGGAUUCUCUCCAUCUCCCGCUGAGGUUUUUGUUCAACUCGCCCUUGCGUGGCCCGAAUCGCCGUCCGUUGUCGCUGGAGUGACCGCUCCCCCGUCAGGUUCCCAUAUUGCUAACAGCACGUGAAACGCGCUGGUGCAGGAACUUGUUUUCUUGCUCGGCAUUCUGUCAUCUCUUCAGCUUUUCCAGUAUGACAUUUUCCAGAGCCGCCUCGGGCGUCCUGGGGUGUCUGUGCAGAAGCCGGUACUUACGGCGAGGUCCAGGAGGAAGAAGAAACACGGUAUGUGAAGGUGGAGAGCAGGUUCUUGUCAGGCUCACGCCGAUCGAUGCCAGCGUGGAGGGUUGAGAGGGAAGGGAAGAGGAAACAAAGCAGUCCUGUCAGCCAGGCUCGGCGUUCUGUGAAAAGGCCCAGAGUGCAACGAGUACAUGUGGGCGGGGCUUGGGGCGACACGAGGCGAGACAGCUGAGAGGGGCGGGCGAGUUAGGUGAAGCCGUUUUCGUAGCUCUCGAUCACUCGUCACUUCUUACAGCGUGGGAUGUGAAAUGUGGUGAAACGGAGAAAACUUUCGAAGCAAUCUCUUCCGAAAGAAAGGGAAGCACAAAGAACAGGACCUCUCUCUCUUGUGGGGGCCGCGAACGGGAAGGCGAAGCGAGCCUCUUGUGACGCUAAAACUGAGGAGAAGACUUCUUUUGUCGAACACUGUCGCUGCGACAUCCUCACGCCGGCUGCAGACGAUUCGAAGAGAAGCUGCUGUUCUACGGAGCAGUUCGAGAAAUGCGACGAAACGCGGGUCCAACGGGUUUCACAGUUUUGAAACAACGCGAAACUGUGAUUUUGGAAAAAACAGGGACUCUUCUCGGCGCUCCCCAGACGCCGCUGGCCUCGGCUGUAUCGUGCAUCUGUCUGAUGCCUGUUCCGUCAUAGAUGCUCUUGCUCUCGGAUUCGAGAGAUUCCACGGAAAACCGUCUCCUUCCACAUUUUAAAAAACGGAAAACUCAUGCUCAGUGCGCCUCUCUUACUUCAAAACGCCUCUUCUCGCAUCGCUUCCCACGUGGCUUUGCCCCUGUCCCAAUUCACGCACGGCAAAUACGCCCGUUUGCUACUUGCUCU